UCCGAGUUGACCCCGGCAGUCUCCCAUGAGUCCCCACCCCAGUGUAUAUUUCAACACCGUGUGCUGGCAACAUGGAACGAGGGUUGCGCUCGUUGCGGGACUUAACCCAACGUCUCACGACACGAGCUGACGACAGCCAUGCACCACCUGUACACGAGUAUCAAAGAGACCCACAUCUCUGCAGGCUUCCCGUGUAUGUCAAACCCAGGUAAGGUUCUUCGCGUUGCAUCGAAUUAAUCCGCAUGCUCCGCCGCUUGUGCGGGCCCCCGUCAAUUCCUUUGAGUUUUAGCCUUGCGGCCGUACUCCCCAGGCGGGGCGCUUAAUGCGUUAGCUACGGCACGGAACCCAUGGAAAGGAUCCCACACCUAGCGCCCAACGUUUACGGUGUGGACUAC
rnacentral:misc_RNA from 1 species